rnacentral:lncRNA from 1 species
GUUAAAGCAAUUUUUUUUGUCCUUUGUCCCUUGAGAGAUGGCUUGACUUGGUGACUCUUCAGAGGUAGACAACUGUGUAUGCUGGUGGCCUUCCCCUGCAGGAGUGGAAGGGGAGGAAGAAGACGGGAACAGGGCUGCUAAGGAGACACAGGAAGGUGCCAGGCUCUUUCUCAGGAGUGGUCAUACAAUGUGUGGCUUUCCUGGCACUUCUCAUCCUGCCUUUGCAAGUGGGGUCAAGCCUCUGCAUUUCUUUACCUGUAAUUUUUUGCUGUGGUUCACAAUACCUUGUCAGAAAAACCUGUACUAAUUUUUCACAUGUCUGGACUACAUGUUCCUGCCAGAAAAUAUUUCAGCUCAGGCCUGGUUGCAAAAGGUGGGUUUAUCUUUGUUUAGUUGACUCCUCUUUUUGGUUGUGCUGUUUGUUACCAGUUCCAUGUUGGCAUGCUUCAGCACACAGAAAGGGGAAAACCAGCAGCACACUCUCCCUCACCUUAUUGUCACCAGAUGUCCUCUGCAGAUGCAUCAGAUGUCCUGCUCAGCCACUUAACAGAAGGCUUCUGGGGGUUACCAUGGGUAGGUAUAAAUUCCCCAGAAUCGCAUCCCAGAG